GAUCCUUCUUUGAUGAAUCUUUCUCAUCCAAACCUAGCAUCUUCUGAAUAGGGUUUCUCGAUAGACGGAGGCUUUCAUCACCAUCUGUCUCCUCCUGACUGCACCACUGAACUCCAGGCCAUCUUUGGCACAGCAGGAAGAGUUGUAAAGUCAGGUAAUUAGCAGACAGAAAGAGUUGAAAUCCCUUUGGUGCGGUUUUCAUUAGAAAUGACUCAUCCAGUC